rnacentral:lncRNA from 1 species
AGACUCAGAGGUCAGAUCAUAAUAGUUUAUUUAUUCAUAAGUAGCAAGAAACAAAUAAGUAGCAAAAUGGGAUCACAUUCAUUCACACACACACACACACACACACACACACACACACACACACACACACACUUCACUAACCUCUGGUCAGGCCCAUGUCUUGCCUGGUUCAAUGGUGGCACGUUGAGUAAGGUUCGAGCUGUGUCCUUCUGCUUUCAGGCCCAGCUGGAGCUCGGUCCUCGGUGCGGGCUCAUCUUGUUCGGUGGCAGGCAUCCGGGUUGGUGGAUUCUGGUGGACUCGAUCUCUCAGCAUGUUGGCAUCUUUGUGGGACUCGGGACUCUGGGAGCGAGUGAUUUGCCAUGGCUAGACAAGAGACUUGUGUCCCUGUCACAGAUUGAAUUUGGACUUAUAAUGUGAUAGGAAACAUGGAGAAAGGGGAGAGGAUUAGACCUCGAGGUUUCAGGUGAGCUAUUUUCAAGUUGUGGCAUUAAAUGGACAAACCCAUCACAUUUUCUCCACUUCAGUCCUUUUGAGUCUGAAAUGGGCAUGGUUACAACAGAAUGAGUAGUUAUGUGGGUCAAAUAAGUUGAUACCACAAAGAUAAUGGAAGCAUAAAACAGUGUAUGGAAUUUGAAUAUGGUGGCACAUGCCUGUAAUUCUACUGGAGAUAUAGAGGCAGGAAGAUCAGGAGUUCAAGUUAUUCUCAGCUACAUAGGAAAUUUGAAUCCAUCUUGGGCUGCAUGAGCCCCUGUCUCAAAG